UGGCUCAGAACGAACGCUGGCGGCGUGGUUGAUAAUGCAAGUCGAACGGGAACGAUUCCUUCGGGAAUCUAGUAUAGUGGCGGACGGGUGAGUAACGCGUGGUUAUUUACCCUCAGGAGCGGGAUAGCCAUGGGAAACCGUGGGUAAUACCGCAUAAGCUCACAGGGCCUGCGGGCCUAGUGAGAAAAAAGUUGGGAUCUUCGGACCUUCUGCCUGAGGAUGAGAUCACGUCCUAUUAGCUUGUUGGUGGGGUAAUGGCCUACCAAGGCUGAGAUGGGUAGCCGGCCUGAGAGGGUGACCGGCCACACUGGAACUGAGACACGGUCCAGACUCCUACGGGAGGCAGCAGUGCUGAAUCAUUCGCCAAUGCGCGAAAGCGUGACGGUGCGACGCCGCGUGAAGGAUGAAGGCCUUCGGGUCGUAAACUUCUGUCAGGUCCUAGGAAACCGUAGUGGUUAAUAGCCGCUGCGCUGACCAGGUCCAAAGGAAGCACAGGCUAAUCUCGUGCCAGCAGCCGCGGUAAUACGAGGUGUGCGAGCGUUGUUCGGUGUUAUUGGGCGUAAAGGGUGUGUAGGCGGCCUGGUCAGUCAGAUGUGAAAUCCCCCGGCUUAACCGAGGAACUGCAUCUGAUACUGCCAGGCUUGAGAUCGGCAGGGGCAAGCGGAAUUCCAGGUGUAGCGGUGGAAUGCGUAGAUAUCUGGGAGAACGCCAAAGGCGAAGGCAGCUUGCUGGGCCGAUUCUGACGCUGAGACACGAAAGCUAGGGGAGCAAACAGGAUUAGAUACCCUGGUAGUCCUAGCUGUAAACGUUGGGCACUUGGCCCCGGGACUUCUGAUGGUCUCGAGGUCGGAGCUAACGCGUUAAGUGCCCCGCCUGGGGAGUAUGGUCGCAAGGCUAAAACUCAAAGGAAUUGACGGGGGCUCACACAAGCGGUGGAGCAUGUUGUUCAAUUCGAAGCAACGCGAAGAACCUUACCUGGACUUGACAUGCUAGCAGUAGGAUCCUGAAAGGGUAACGACCGGUAUCCAGUCCGGAACUAGCACAGGUGCUGCAUGGCUGUCGUCAGCUCGUGUCGUGAGACGUUGGGUUAAGUCCCGUAACGAGCGAAACCCUUGUCCUUAGUUGCUACCAGGUAAUGCUGGGCACUCUAAUGAGACUGCCGGUGUCAAACCGGAGGAAGGUGGGGACGACGUCAAGUCAUCAUGGUCCUUACGUCCAGGGCUACAAACGUGCUACAAUGGCGGGUACAAAGAGUCGCGAUACCGCGAGGUGGAGCCAAUCUCUAAAACCCGCCCCAGUUCAGAUUGGAGGCUGCAAUUCGCCUCCAUGAAGGUGGAAUCGCUAGUAAUCCGGAUCAGCAACGCCGCGGUGAAUGUGUUCCUGAGCAUUGUACACACCGCCCGUCAAGCCAC
rnacentral:rRNA from 1 species